GUGAUCCUGCGCCGACGAUUUCCAGAGCUAAAACUUACGCCCGGAGCUACGGCAUCCUUAUGGUGGGAAGGGGAGCUUCCCAUACGGGUUGCAGCAUGACCGUAAGGACAUGUGGACAGUAUGGGAUGGAGGAUGCUGGCAUGAGUAGCGAGAUGUGGGUGCGAAUCCCACAGGCCGUAAACCCAACGUUUCCAGGGGAAGGUUCGUCCGCCCCUG
rnacentral:rRNA from 1 species